UAACAUGAUCUAAUGCUGGAAGUUGAAGCUAGACAAAUUCAGACUGGAAAUAAGCAUACUUUUUAACAGUGAGAGUAAUUAACCAUUGGAACAAUUUACCAAGGAUUGUGGUGGAUUCUCCAGCACUGACAAUUUUUAAAUCAAGAUUGAAUGUUUAUCUCAAAAAUCUGCUCUAGCAAUAAUUUUGGGGGUGUUCUAUGGCUUCUGUGGUGAUCAGACUAGAUGAUCAGAAUGGUCCCUUC